CCCGGUGACGGUGGCCGCAUUUCGAAGGGGGCGAAAUGCAAAGAACAACACCCGUGUUCUUAGAAUUAGGUUCAAGAAGCACCAGGUUGUCGAAAUUAACCAGGAGUCGUCCACUACGGCAUGCCUCAUAGUCAUAUCGUGGUUAUGGCUCGUAAAACCCCAGCAAUUAUUGUUAAACUUGACCCAACACUUGGCAGCACAUGCCCCUGUUGAACGAAAAAUGCUCGAAGUAACAAGGAGUUGGACGAAGUUUGAUCAGCUUCCUGACUGCAUCAGUGUGCUACUCUUAUUGCGCAAGUGGCUCUAGCUCCAGGGCCAUUCCCUUUUCGACAACAUAUCACCAAGUUAAAACCUUCGCACUUGAAUAUAGCAAACGUAAGCGCAGAACUUUGUGCGCUCGCUGUUCUUAAUCGCGUCUGUGGGCGAUGGAAGAAUGGAGAAAGCUUCGAAACAGGCCGUCCUAUAGCGCGGACCAUUACUGCCACGGAAAGUCUGCGGCCUGAGGUCCCAAGGUGUCGCUUGAGCCUGGCCAUGACUUAGCCAUGACCGACUGCGUUGAAUGGGAAAACCUACCUGCACCUCAACAGCUGGAGGUCACGUGACCAGGGUAGAAGCGUCACGUGUGACGUCAUGCCACCGCCGUACAAUUUCAAAGGCAACGUUCUAACCUGGCGUUGCAUAAGUAUCUCUAUUUUGCCAUUGUCAGUGGUUAGCCCGUGUCGCUGAGGGGCCAGUAACCUACGCCAUGCCGCUUCGCGGUUCUUACUAUUUUACCAGCUUCACUGUAAACCCAAAGUCGACGCGGACGUGCCGCUGUACCACUGACGUCAUAUGUGACGUUUCUACUCCGGUCACGUGACCACGAGCCGUUAAAGUGCAAAUAGCCUCCACCGUGUUGAAACCCCAACAACCACGGAGAUUUCUAUAUCACGUUUCGUGUCAGUAGAAUGCUGAUCUUUUGUCCAUAGAAAACCAUCCAAGACGAUGAAGUUUGAUCAAUGUUUUUGUGCGCAGAACUUCGAUGCCUCUCCUUCUAAUUAAAUGGUCACUGGAUUCAGCUUCGGUGCACGGAGUACUAGAGACAAAACUUAAAGCGGCCGACGUCUGCGCACUGUCGAAUCGAGGUUGCAGUUCGGUCACAACGAGCAACGCGAUGCGAACACUGCAGUACUGCAGUGUUCGCAUCGCGGUAGCGUCUGUCCGUGUCCUAGACAACAGAAGGCUUGUGCAAUUUGAGUCAUCGUCAUGCGGGAAGGCCGACAGCCCAUGCAUUUCACUUGGCGGGAAGAUCUUUUACCACGAAGUUUAAUUAUAAAAAGUUAUUUUUAUGAGAAGCGAUCGACCUUCCUAUAGAGAUGAUUUGACAGUAAAAGCACGCAGGCUAAACCGAAGGUGUUCAUUUUUUAGCAGUGAAAUGCUGGCUUAAGGCGAUUUCAUAAGAAGGCUUCACUAACGUCGAAGCGGGUGACAAAUCGCAACGGUGGCCGUAGUUUUUUCUUGUAUUACAGUUCAAAAUAACGUGCGCCGGCUGGACUACAUGGAACUAAAGUCGUCUAAAAUUUGUGUUUGUAACAUACGCGCUACGGUGCUGCACGUUUAAUCAGGUCUUCCGGCGCGGCCUUCCUGUUGCGUAGACCUGUUGGAAAGAUGACCGAACCUGAUCAUUUCUGGAACUGAAAGUUGUAACGUUGCGCUACACGCUCUGCUAGAACACGCGCG